GUGUAGGCUAACCGAGUAGGGUCUGUCUGCGGCAUGGGCGUGUCAAUCAUUAAACAAGAACUGGUACUGCAGCAUCGACCAAUCACGAAGAGCUUCAAGUGACGCUGGCCCUGUAGGACAAGCUGGCGGACCCCUCCCACCCUCUCAAGCAAGCAGUGAAAGCCCUGCAGGACAAGCUGGCGUACCCCUCCCAUCGUCUCCAUCGGCCCAGUUCAGCACCACCUUCCAGACAGCAAGCAGUAAAAGGUAUUACAUACUGUCUCUGUACUUUGCCAUUUUCUAACAUGGCUACAAAUGAAACAAAAACAAACUUGGCCAUUUAUUUGUAUUUGGUGCUAAUGAAUAUGGUAUCUAAUCUCCCUCCCCUUCUCUUCUUUCUCUCUCU